CAGCAGCCGCGGUAAUACGAAGGGGGCUAGCGUUGUUCGGAAUUACUGGGCGUAAAGCGCACGUAGGCGGAUAUUUAAGUCAGGGGUGAAAUCCCAGAGCUCAACUCUGGAACUGCCUUUGAUACUGGGUAUCUUGAGUAUGGAAGAGGUGAGUGGAAUUCCGAGUGUAGAGGUGAAAUUCGUAGAUAUUCGGAGGAACACCAGUGGCGAAAGCGGCUCUCUGGUCUGUAACUGACGCUGAGGAGCGAAAGCUAGGGGAGCAAAUGGGAUUAGAUACCCCAGUAGUCCCUGUCUCUUAUAC
rnacentral:rRNA from 1 species